AAAAAAAAACCAGAUUUUUGUCGGCAUCUUCUUCCUCUUCUUCUUCGCGACCCGCUUGCUAGAGUGUGCUGCGCUUGAGCACGCCUAAUUUCGAUCACCGCAAACGUUCGUCUCGCUUUGGGCAUCAUCUUCGUCCCUGCCUAGUGCCUCGCCGCCACUCUAUACUCAAUAAAGGGAAUCGAGAUUUUCUGAAUUUGCAGAGAGAGAGAGAGAGAGAAGGAGGGAGGGAUGUCGAAGAUAUUUUCGAGGAUUGCUGGAUUUUUCAGCAGCCGGACUCUCGUGGGUAUGGAUAAGGCUGGGAAUCGCUAUUUCACUCGAAAAGAAGAGAUCGAUGGAAUCGUGAAGGAGAAAAGGUGGGUGGUAUUCAAGGGUGAGCAGGAACCUACAUCUGUUCCUGUUGAAUGGAUUUGUUGGCUGAAUGGACAGCGUAAGAUAGCUCCGACUCCAGAGGAAAUGGCGGAGCUUGAAGCUAGGCGUGAGCGGAUUAAACUUAAUGUCGCCAGGUUAAAAGAGGAAGAAGAAAAGAAAUUAAAAGAAGGCAGUAUCCGCAAAAGCAUGAGCUCUGGUAAAGUUGGAGGUCCAGACUUGGGAAGUUUUAUUCGGCAAUUUCCAUCCUCUGCAGUAGGUGACAAGGUUGAGGAGACAUCAGAUAAAACAGAUAGCUUGAGACAAACUAAAGAAAGACCAAAAGAAGAAGAAGAGAAGCCGGUCCCAGAGUCAACAGAGCCCACAGGAUCUGGUGCAUCAUUCAGGCCGGGGACAUGGCAACCGCCAACUUGAAAGUAUUCCUCCUGGUGUUCAAAAGGUUCGAUACUGCAAUACUCCGGGUCCUGUCCCUGCUUCUUUGGCGAGAUUCAUUAGUGAGAAUAGUGGGUUCUCACAAUUUUGGGCAUUGAUCUAGAUGAGGUUGCACCUUUGGGAUCACUGAUAUUCUUGCAUGUUGUGUCGCGCAACUGCAUUACAAGUACAAUGAAAAAUAAAGAGGCCAAGCGAAGGCGACGAGAUAUUUUUGGAAUUAUUUUGUCUUUCUCCUAGAAAGGAUGUUUGCUUGACAAUGUGCGAAGAUUGAGUUAAAUGCUCAAGUAGACUCGAGUUGAAUCAUAUGCAGGCUUCAGCUUGUGCGGUUUCAGUCAAA